rnacentral:lncRNA from 1 species
CCUUUGUGAUUUUGCAAUAGCUUCAAGAAUUACGGAAGUUGCGAACACAGUGCAGAGCAUACGCAUUCGCCUCGGCCUAGCUUCCCCCAGGGUGGGCAUCUCACCAGCACUUCUCUGGGCAUAUGUAGAAACUGAAGAUUAGGACAAAAAGUUGGAUCUCAAGGUAGCUGGUUUGGAGGUGGCAGGACAGGUGGCCCCGCGGUGGCCCUCACGGCUGCCUGUAUGCUUUUCAGGAAGCCUUGAACAGUGCCGGGGAUAAACUUGUAGUAGUUGACUUCGCAGUCACGUGGUGUGGACCUUGCAAAAUGAUCAAGCCUUUCUUUCAUGUGAGUAUGAAACCGGUUCUGCUUUAGAAGAGAUUCUGUGUUU